CCGUCCCCCCCCUCCUCUCUCUCUUCCUCGAUCUCUCUCUCUCUCUCCAGAGACGCCGGCGCCCUCUGCGGGCGGCGCGCCGCCAGCCCCUCCACCUCCGCCACCCCACGCAGCUCAGCCUCCAUGCCGAGCUCCCCCCUUCAAUCCUCACCUCGUCUAGCUUCCUCGAUUCCUCGUCUCCUCCUAGCCUCCGCUGUCCCUCCCUUUCGCGACCUCUCCAUGCCUCCUGGUGGAGCUCGCAUCAGGCAGGCCCAGCUCGGCCGCCCCGGCGUGGGCCCCCUGAAGCGGCACGUCGACUUGGCCGGCCGGCACCCGGCGCAGCGGCGGCGGCGGCGGCAACGACGAUGACCUAGGGUUUCGCCUCCCCGCAUCGGCCCAUCACCGGAUCAGGUGCCUCCAUGUAUGGCCACCUAGCUGUGCUCGGCCGCCACCCAUCCGCAAUGUACAACAUGAUCGUCUUCUACCUGUCGAUAUGCUGGAAGCCAUGGGACAACUCUUUUAUCUUCUUCCAUGUAUUGCUUUUCCAAAGGUAAACUUGAUUGAUUUACAUUGUUCACAUUCUAAGUCUAAUAUAUUAUAUGCGGAUGAUGAGAUUAUUUUUUCCUAAUGGAAUUAGUCAUGCCAAUAUACAUGGAAGGGAUAUAUUGUAGCUAUAUGGUACAGUUUUUGUUACUGUUCUGAAAUUGGUUGGUUGCUCUAUCAGUUCCAUAUGUUAUUUGGGGCUUAAACAAAUCCAAGUUCUAGCUUUUCGAAUAUAGGAUGAUAAUGGAGGAUUCUUUAGUGGUGGAAUGAAAGUCUUUACGGUUAAAUCUGCAUGGUUUGCUUUAAAAAAUCUAUCACCUUUACCAUGGAUCAUAUGCCUAUAGACAUGAACUAGGAAUGAAAAAAAAACUGUAAAUAUAGUGUUACUGCUAUAGAGAAGACAGUGUCGUGCCUUCCUCCUUCAUACUGAUGGGUUUGUUAUAUAGCUUCAGAACAAUAGAAGUGUGCUUUACAAGCAACAGGUCAAGGACAUGGCAGUAAAAAAAUCAAAAAAGAUGCAACAAGGUAAUACCUAUUGACAACAUGAGGCUAAACCAGUAAGAAACCUUUAGAAUAUAUAUAUUGUCAAACGCUUUUAUUGUUUCCGUCCGCUUUUCAUUCUCCUGAUUCUUUGAUUUUUUUAAGUACAAUUAUUACGCAUGCUGCUGUUUUUGGAACUCAGUUGCAAUAGCUCCAAGCAAUGGUUAGUUAAUUACUCUUGUUUUUUUCAUCUCUUGUUACCUAUUCUAUUUUUUUGUAGUUUGGAGGCACCGAUGAGAGUCAAUAUUUAUUGCCUAUUCAAUGGCUAGGGAUAUCCAUCAGGCAGGCAUUGAUUUCAUCUCAAUAUAUGGAAUUGAAAAGAGCAUGCUUAUGUCAAUAUGCUGGACAGAGCCAAAGAAUAGUUGGGUUAAAUUGUGUUUUCUGCUAUGAGGAGGAAAAUAUUAAUAAUAUUUUUAGGAAGCCUCCUCUGUGUUUGUAUCAAAAAAGGUCACGAGGCUUGCCCAUUUCUUAUGUGUUAGGAUUUUAUUUCCAAUGCUUCGGUGCUCUGGUUUCUUGAGCACCUUUACCUAUAUCAAAUUGUUUUCGUUCCCGUUCUUUACUCCCUCUUCUUCGCUUCUCUUCUUUGACCUUUGCUUUGUGUUUUGGGCUUACGAGGAAUACUCAUACCUGCUUAACAGGAUCUAUUUUUUAUAUCAUAUUUGCCUGUUGUUCUACCCCACCAUGUGUCUUUGUUACAGUUUCUUUGUUGCAGGUCAUGGUCGAGUUAUAAUUCUCUGCAUUGACGGAGAGAUCAUGCUAAUUAAAGAAAAAAAAAUCAAAGCAACUACUAUCCUAACGAGGGAAGCUACAGCUGUCAUCCUCAAAAGUAAGGUGUUUGCCAUUUUUGGAUGGAUAAAAAAGUAUCAGUCCAUUUAAGUCAUGGGAAAAAUUCUAUGUGUGUUUUCCUUUUCUUCUUAAAGCAUCUUGGAUUGAGUAAUUGUUGUCACUGCAUUUAUUUAAUAUAUACGGCUCAUAGUUUUGCAAAUUUGAUAUAUCAUAAUAUGUGCCCCUGUUGAAAGAAGAAUGUUGGGAUACCAUAGAGGUUUUGAUGCGAAAUUUUCAUGUACGCUUUGGGGUAGCAUAGAGGUUUUGAAAAUUAUGCCUCUGCUAUAAUAUGAAUCUUGUAAAUAUAACAAUGGACACUCAAAAGUGUGCUUCCUGAUCAACAACUUCGCAUAGAUGAUUAUGUGAUGACGUAUGUGGCCCUAAUGUUCCCUUUUUUAAGUAAUGUGUUCCUCAGUUUAAUUUAUGGUUCUUCUGCAAUAGUCUCAAUUCCUAAUUACUUCCUGAUUGUAGAAUAAAAUGUUAUAAUGUGCCUUCUUUUGCUGUUACUGAUGGCUGUACCACACUGCUUGCAGCACGCAUAGGCAUCGUUUCUUUCAUAUAAAUUGAAGUUUCAGAGUAAUAAGCAAUAGAUCAUUUGACAAUUUGAGCAACAAUAUAGAAAUUUAGUCGCUCUACAAAAGAUACUAUAUUUUCUCUGUGCAUAUCCCUUGCUCAUUUUGGUAUAAACAUUCCUAUGAUGACCCUUGUGUGCUAGGUAGGCGGUUCUGCAAAACUUGAAUCCACUUUGGACAGUCUGACCCCUCAUCUGUUCACCUUAGCUCAGAACCAGUGAACUAUCUGAGUGCUUAUGUGGAUGUUCCAUGACCAUUAUAGAGACGCAUGCUUCAAAAGCAACCGAUCUAUGUCCUUAAAAAAUUUGUGCUGAAUGAAUAAGUACAUACCUGUCAAGAACAAUUCUUAUAUAUAUUUUUCAUACAUGUCAAGCACUACAUUUACCAGUUGCUACUUACCUGGAAACUACUAUGUGACUAACAGCUAUUCUCAUAUUCACCGAUUUCUUCUUCGUACACUACGCGUAGUACAUCUCACCAUACACUUUGUUACAUCCCCUGAUUAAAUUCCAAGAGCAGCAGCAACUACUUGCUGAGGACCGCGCUCCAAUCAAAUGGCAUCAUCAUCAACUUUUGUAGGGCUUAUUGCCCAAGGCAUAGAGAGAUGUGCACACCAAAUUCAUGUGGAGGAACUAUUGGAUUCUAUCUUAGUCUCGUGAACUGUGGAAUGUAUGCGUAUGUAAGAUGUCUCACUUUACCAAAAGUUGUUGUAUGAUGAGCUCCACGACUGUAAAUAUGUAUGCUUACAUACCCACCAGAUAUUGUGCUUUAUACCCUGCUGCAUCAGUAAAUGUAGGUGUUGGUAUCAUAUAUGUACUCAACUUUUGGAUUCUCCAAGUGGUACACACUAUCUGUAGUUCAUAUACCCUGCACUUUGUAUGUUUAUGUAACGGUUAGAUGCUUUUGAGCCCAUAGGUUAACAUAUAUCUUCUACAACCAGACAAAAUUGCCUGUAUUUAUGAAUACACACUCUAUAUAACAUGUGUAUCUUACCUGUAUAAACCUAAAGGUACUUGCUUGUGCUCGCGCGCAAGGGCGCGCGGUUUAUACUAGUGCAUCUAAAAGUCAUAAAAAUACCUUAGUCUAAGUAUGUCUUAGCCACAGCGUGGCAUGUAAGCAUCUUCCAAAUUUUCUUUCAUUUGGCAUAUGAUAAUACAUACAUGAUUUUACUCUUGAUAUAUAUGAUCUUCUCAAUCAAGAUAUGCAUCAGCUUGAAAUAUAUAGAUCUACCCUUUAUUCUAACUGUUAUUUCGUGAUUGAACAAUAUCUUGUAUAUGUUAGUAUCUUGUAUGGCCUCAUAGAAACCAAUAGACCAUUUAUACCGUGGAUAUACUUUACGUCUUUACCGCAUUUAUUAUAUUAGUACUACAUGAGAAAACCAUUUUUGGAGCCCUUUAGAUUGCAGGUGAAACUAAAGUUGAGCAUGCAGCCCGCGGGCCAAAGGCAUGGCCCAAGGCACGGUGAUUUGGCUCCGCCCGAGCACGGCAUGGCCAGAUCCUACCCAUGCCCAUGCCGCCCCGAAGCACAUAGUGUGUCGUGCUUCGACCGACUCCUCGGUCCGCUAGGCGGCACGGCCCGGCCUGCUUUUAACAGCAGGCACGGUGUCGGCCCGGUAUUAGGGAACUUAUGAAACUUGAAGUAUCAAGUUCUAUGACUUGUGAAACUUGUGACUUUUGGCAAGUGAAAUAUGAUCUGUGGUAUAUUGUAUUAUGUGAAUUGUGAAGUAUCAAUGUCUUUGAAUGUGAUUUA